rnacentral:rRNA from 1 species
AUACGUAGGUGGCAAGCGUUGUCCGGAAUUAUUGGGCGUAAAGCGCAUGUAGGCGGUUUGGUAAGUCGGUCGUGAAAAUGCGGUGCUUAACGCCGUAUGGCGAUUGAAACUGCUGAACUUGAGUGCAGGAGAGGGAAGGGGAACUCCCAGUGUAGCGGUGAAAUGGGUAGAUAUUGGGAAGAACACCGGUGGCGAAGGCGCCUUUCGGGACUGUGUCUGACGCUCAGAUGCGAAAGCCAGGGUAGCGAACGGGAUUAGAUACCCCGGUAGUCCUGGCCGUAAACGAUGGGUACUAGGUGUGGGAGGUAUCGACUCCUUCCGUGCCGGAGUUAACGCAAUAAGUACCCCGCCUGGGGAGUACGGCCGCAAGGCUUAAACUCAAAGGAAUUGACGGGG